rnacentral:miRNA from 1 species
UGGAGGUCACACAUCAUGCCG